AAUUAAAAUUUUCAUUCAUUUCUGUUGUUAAAAACUGGUGUGGUUGACAGAAUAGCCAAACAAUUACACAUAGCAUACCACAUGUACUUCAUGUCGACAUGUAGGGACCAGUUUUUAAUAAUAGAAAUGGAUAAUUGUUUUAACA
rfam:Gossypium raimondii Chr07_contig_34, whole genome shotgun sequence.